UACAGAGGUCUCAAGCGUUGUUCGGAUUCAUUGGGCGUAAAGGGUGCGUAGGCGGCGCGGUAAGUCGGGGGUGAAAUCUCGGAGCUUAACUCCGAAACUGCAUUCGAUACUGCCGUGCUUGAGGACUGGAGAGGAGACUGGAAUUUACGGUGUAGCGGUGAAAUGCGUAGAUAUCGUAAGGAAGACCAGUGGCGAAGGCGGGUCUCUGGACAGUUCCUGACGCUGGGGCACGAAGGUCAGGGGAGCAAACGGG
rnacentral:rRNA from 1 species